rnacentral:rRNA from 1 species
CGAACGGUAACAGGAAGCAGCUUGCUGCUUCGCUGACGAGUGGCGGACGGGUGAGUAAUGUCUGGGAAGCUGCCUGAUGGAGGGGGAUAACUACUGGAAACGGUAGCUAAUACCGCAUAAUGUCGCAAGACCAAAGAGGGGGACCUUCGGGCCUCUUGCCAUCGGAUGUGCCCAGAUGGGAUUAGCUUGUUGGUGGGGUAACGGCUCACCAAGGCGACGAUCCCUAGCUGGUCUGAGAGGAUGACCAGCCACACUGGAACUGAGACACGGUCCAGACUCCUACGGGAGGCAGCAGUGGGGAAUAUUGCACAAUGGGCGCAAGCCUGAUGCAGCCAUGCCGCGUGUAUGAAGAAGGCCUUCGGGUUGUAAAGUACUUUCAGCGGGGAGGAAGGGAGUAAAGUUAAUACCUUUGCUCAUUGACGUUACCCGCAGAAGAAGCACCGGCUAACUCCGUGCCAGCAGCCGCGGUAAUACGGAGGGUGCAAGCGUUAAUCGGAAUUACUGGGCGUAAAGCGCACGCAGGCGGUUUGUUAAGUCAGAUGUGAAAUCCCCGGGCUCAACCUGGGAACUGCAUCUGAUACUGGCAAGCUUGAGUCUCGUAGAGGGGGGUAGAAUUCCAGGUGUAGCGGUGAAAUGCGUAGAGAUCUGGAGGAAUACCGGUGGCGAAGGCGGCCCCCUGGACGAAGA